rnacentral:rRNA from 1 species
UCGUGGAUUGAUUUGUCUUUUUUAUUAAGUUAACGGACGAGACCUCGACCUGCUAAAUAGUUGAGCCCUAUUAUUAUUAAUAGGUUUCGCCAACUUCUUAGAGGGACUACCGGUGUGUAGCCGGUGGAAGUUCGAGGCAAUAACA